rnacentral:rRNA from 1 species
AGGAAAUUAAAAGUUGAACAAACUUCUUUUUUUAAUAUCUGCAUUAAAAAAGUAUCCUAAUCCAACAUCGAGGUCGCAAACUUUUUUGUCAAUAUGAUCUAUCAAAAAAUAUAACGCUGUUAUCCCUAGAGUAUUUAACAUAUAAUCAUUAAUAAUGGGUCAUUUUAUUUUAAAAAAGUUUUAAAUAUUUUUCCGCCGCCCCAGCUAAAAUUUUUUCAAUAGUAGUUACAUAUUAAAUAAAAUUUAUAAAUUCAUAGGGUCUUCUUGUCCUUAAUAUUAAUAAUUGUUUCUGCACAAAUUAAAAAAAUUUCAAUUUUUAACUUGAAAAAAGUUUUUUUCUGAAAUUCCAUUCUCUUAGCAUUCAAUUAAAAUCUUAUUUCAAUACCUUUGUAUAGUCAAAAUA